AUGAUAGAAAUAGGUUUCUAUUGUUUAUAGGAGGAGAUGUAAGGAGUAGAUAAGCUGAAUUUUCACUACUUAAUUCAUAAUUGUUGCUGGUUGGCUGCUAGUUAGCUCUUUUAAGCUAGUUUAGCAGGUUAGGAGCAGUAGUUCUAGGCUUAACUACUGCCUAUAAAUUCUAGGGGUUAGUUAGUUCUAGUUAGAGAGAAAAUUCUGUUCAGUUUGUUAGUUUAGGGGAGGAAAUUCUCCCCAGAGUUGGUUAGAUCUAACAGUGUAUUUCAAUAAGGGAUUGUGAUUUACAAUCCUUAGUUCAUCAAUAAAAUCCCUUAAUUCUGCUAGCUCUCAGUUCCUAUCACAUCCACAUCACAAAACACAAAAUUUCUAAGUUAUCAUUGAAAGGAAAACAUAACUUCACAUGGCUUAAUGUAGAAAGAUAAAUGGGCAUUUGAUUUUAGUUUUUCAUUAGUUUAGGUGUUAUUGGAGCAUUAAAUUUUAGGUAUAAGAUUGUGAUUCUAAUUACAACAUACUAUAGGGAUUA